UACGUAGGGUCCGAGCGUUGUCCGGAAUUAUUGGGCGUAAAGGGCUCGUAGGCGGUUUGUCGCGUCGGGAGUGAAAACCAGGUGCUUAACACCUGGCCUGCUUUCGAUACGGGCAGACUAGAGGCAUUCAGGGGAGAACGGAAUUCCUGGUGUAGCGGUGAAAUGCGCAGAUAUCAGGAGGAACACCGGUGGCGAAGGCGGUUCUCUGGGAAUGUCCUGACGCUGAGGAGCGGAAGUGUGGGGAGCGAACAGG
rnacentral:rRNA from 1 species